UAUAAUCCAAAUCUCCUGAAAAUGGUGGUGUCACUGAAUGAUAUUCGUCUUUAUCUUUCCCAGGGGACUUAUGUCAAACACCAGCAGGCUUCGAAACAUUUCAAGCGGAGUGUUAGGGCCGCUGCUGGGAACUUCUGUCUUCGUGAAGAGGUCCUGUACCAUGGGAACAGAAGGGUCAUUUGGACAGAGGAGGAGAAAGUGGCUGUGUUAACCGAAGCCCAUGCAUGCAGGCCAUUUUGGACCACGGAGGAUGCAAGCGAAGAUUGCUCCCCGGUUUUAUUGGCGGUCCAUCACAAAGGACACAUUGGAUUGGGUGCGCACAUGUCCUGACUGCCAGCGCUUUGAAAAAUGAAAGACCGAGGCGCCUGAGCUGAAGCCCAUCAAGGUCGUAUCACCUUGGUACAUGGUUGUACUCCCUCUGGCUCUGUACGGACACUACUUUUCACUACAGUGUGCUGGACAUGCAGUCAAUCCGGCGUUGGUGGUGUGUCCUUCUAAUGGAGCGCUUUGGCAUUGAAGGGUAGGACAACUUCUUGAAAUAUCUGCUGUAUUGUUUAUCAUGAUUAGUAACUGCCUGCGAUGAGGUGGCGACUUGUCCAGGGUGUACCCUGCCUUCCGCCCGAAUGCAGCUGAGAUAGGCUACAGCGACCCCCCGCGACCCCAAAAAGGGACAAGCGGUAGAAAAUGGAUGGAUGGAUGGAUUAGUAACUGUAAUCUGAAGAGCUUUUCUUCAAUUUCCCCAAAGGCAUGGCCAGAGGUUCUGUUAUUGGACAGACAAGGCGAGCGGCCUAUUGCAGGGCAUUCUUUAGCCAGUCUUUAGGGUAUCCAGAAACUCAGUCCAGGCCAUCGACUGCGUCAUCAAAGAUUAACUGAAUACAGUACUGGUAGGCCAUGACACAAAAGUGAAUAAAUUGUAUCAUACCUAUGUUGCUCCAUAAAAAAAAAGAUUGGAGAAAUAUGUAAGCUGGGGGAAAAAUAACUGGUUCAAAAAUAAUAAUCUAAUAACCUUUAUUGGUUUGUACCUUGAUGUGGUUUAAGAGCUUUUCACUAUAACAUGUCUACUUCUGAGGUGACCACCACUUGUGAUUAUAAUUGACGCUUUGUCCUUUAUCUGU